rnacentral:rRNA from 3 species
AUUGGAGGCCAGUGAAUGGCAAGACUAGGGAUAUCUGUACCCUGUAUAGAAAAACAACUUUUCAUCUGGGUGAAAAGACCCAAAUGACAAAGGAAGACGAAAAGACCCCGCGGAACUUUACCUUUUCCGGUCUCCACAUGCUCAGAAACAUUGGAACAAAAGGUUUGAUUGGGGCAAUCUCGGAACCACCAAAACUUCCGACUUAUAAGAAAAAAGUAUAUAAAACUUGAUAAGGACCAAAAAGAAGUUACCCCGGGGAUAACAGCGUAAUCCAACUUGAGAGUACACAUCGAAAGCUGGGUUUGCGACCUCGAUGUUGGCUUAAGGAUAUCCACAUAAGUGCAACCGCUAUGAUAGGACAGUCUGUUCGACUAUUAUACCCUUACACGAGCUG